rnacentral:rRNA from 1 species
GACGAACGCUGGCGGCGUGCUUAACACAUGCGAGUCGAACGGAAAGGCCUGCUUUCCCUUGUGGAUUGCGGGUACUCGAGUGGCGAACGGGUGAGUAACACGUGAGUGAUCUGCCCCCAACUUGGGUAUAAGCCUGGGAAACUGGGUCUAAUUCCCGAUAGGACUGCAGGGUGGUGCCUGUGGUGGAAAACGAUUUUCUAGUGGUUGGGGAUGAGCUCGCGGCCUAUCAGCUUGUUGGUGGGGUAAUGACCUACCAAGGCGGCGACGGGUAGCCGGCCUGAGAGGGUGGACGGCCACAUUGGGACUGAGAUACGGCCCAGACUCCUACGGGAGGCAGCAGUGGGGAAUAUUGCACAAUGGGCGGAAGCCUGAUGCAGCGACGCCGCGUGGGGGAUGACGGCCUUCGGGUUGUAAACUCCUUUCGACCGCGAGGAAGCCACCUGGUUGGAAGGGUGGUGACGGUAGUGGUAGAAGAAGCACCGGCUAACUACGUG